GCAUGUGAGGGCGAUCUGGCUGUGACAUCUGUCAGCCCACUGAUUGCCAGGGUUGAUUCGGCUGGUCUGGCUGGCUAGGCGGGUGUCCCCUUCCUCCCUCACCACUCCAUGUGCGUCCCUCCCAAAGCUGUGCGCUCUGUCCAAGAGAAUGGACUUCCCCGAAUAGAGACAGACCUGUCAUCAGUCGAGGGUAAAGGAGUAGCUGCACUCCCCUGCUAGAACCUCCAAACAAGCUCUCUUUUGCAGCCUUUCUUUACCCUUACUCCUUCCCACUUUAGCUAUGAUUUGUCUUGGUGUCUUUAUGCCUGAGUCAAUUCUU
rnacentral:snRNA from 1 species